rnacentral:sRNA from 1 species
AUCUGGUCGUUAAUUCGACCAGAAUAACUACAACAAUAUACAAAUUCCUCUUUGACGGGCCAAUAGCGAUAUUGGCCGUUUUUUU